GUUGUAUAGUCAAGUAAUUAAGUGCAUGUGGUGGAUGCCUUGGCAGUCAGAGGCGAUGAAAGACGUGGUAGCCUGCGAAAAGCUUCGGGGAGUCGGCAAACAGACUUUGAUCCGGAGAUCUCUGAAUGGGGGAACCCACCUAGGAUAACCUAGGUAUCUUGUACUGAAUCCAUAGGUGCAAGAGGCGAACCAGGGGAACUGAAACAUCUAAGUACCCUGAGGAAAAGAAAUCAACCGAGAUUCCCUUAGUAGUGGCGAGCGAACGGGGAUUAGCCCUUAAGCUUCAUUGAUUUUAGCGGAACGCUCUGGAAAGUGCGGCCAUAGUGGGUGAUAGCC
rnacentral:rRNA from 1 species